UUUUUUCCUUCGUCUGAUAUUUUGGCAGAAAAUUAGGGGUUAUUUAGAGAAGAUUUGUUCUGUAAAUUUGGAAAUAUUUCUGCAUAGCCGUAGGAUGAAAAUCUUUGUCAACAAAAAUCUAUUGAGAAGGAAUGGAAGAAGAAGAUCUAACAGUAAUAAUCUCGGUCAAUUAUUUUGUUAGAUUUGAACCCUAACAAUUUCAUUUUGGGUGGGAUAAAUCAAACGAAAAUCCUUUUGGGAGGGAUUAUUCCCGUUUGGUGUUUUGGAACAACUAUAAGUUCAACCCUAAAAUCAUUUCAGAGAUGUGAAGAGAUAUAUCUUUUUUGUGGGAGUGUUAGUCCAGAGAUCAAAAACAUCCAAAGGUUGCUGUGCUAGCCUACCAGCGAGCCUUAGCCAAAGGAGCCGAAGCGGAUGGGGGCUAAGAUUGUGUCACAAGGGGGGCAAACUAACUCUACCUUCCAUGUUAAUUUCUGCAAUAUUACGCCAUUGGGGGCUCGAACCUGGGACCUCCUGGAACGCAUGAAACUUUGGGGAACGAGGAUGACCAGCUGAGCUAGGUGUCCGUUCUUCUUCUUCUUAUUAUUAUUAUUAUUAAAAAUUAGAAAAUGUACAAGAAUUUACAAUGAUUUGGCAGGGAGGCGCGCAACAAGUUGCGCCCCAAUGCCGCCCCAAUGCCUCUCUGAAUAAUGAUGCCUAACCUAAGAAAAAGGAAACUGCCUAAGUUAUUGUUGACAUCGUGACUAGCCAUGCAGUUCUUCAA